GACGAACGCUGGCGGCGUGCUUAACACAUGCAAGUCGAACGGAAAGGCCCUGCUUUUGUGGGGUGCUCGAGUGGCGAACGGGUGAGUAACACGUGAGUAACCUGCCCUUGACUUUGGGAUAACUUCAGGAAACUGGGGCUAAUACCGGAUAGGAGCUCCUGCUGCAUGGUGGGGGUUGGAAAGUUUCGGCGGUUGGGGAUGGACUCGCGGCUUAUCAGCUUGUUGGUGGGGUAGUGGCUUACCAAGGCUUUGACGGGUAGCCGGCCUGAGAGGGUGACCGGCCACAUUGGGACUGAGAUACGGCCCAGACUCCUACGGGAGGCAGCAGUGGGGAAUAUUGCACAAUGGGCGGAAGCCUGAUGCAGCAACGCCGCGUGCGGGAUGACGGCCUUCGGGUUGUAAACCGCUUUCGCCUGUGACGAAGCGUGAGUGACGGUAAUGGGUAAAGAAGCACCGGCUAACUACGUGCCAGCAGCCGCGGUGAUACGUAGGGUGCGAGCGUUGUCCGGAUUUAUUGGGCGUAAAGGGCUCGUAGGUGGUUGAUCGCGUCGGAAGUGUAAUCUUGGGGCUUAACCCUGAGCGUGCUUUCGAUACGGGUUGACUUGAGGAAGGUAGGGGAGAAUGGAAUUCCUGGUGGAGCGGUGGAAUGCGCAGAUAUCAGGAGGAACACCAGUGGCGAAGGCGGUUCUCUGGGCCUUUCCUGACGCUGAGGAGCGAAAGCGUGGGGAGCGAACAGGCUUAGAUACCCUGGUAGUCCACGCUGUAAACGGUGGGUACUAGGUGUGGGGUCCAUUUCACGGGUUCCGUGCCGUAGCUAACGCUUUAAGUACCCCGCCUGGGGAGUACGGCCGCAAGGCUAAAACUCAAAGGAAUUGACGGGGCCCCGCACAAGCGGCGGAGCAUGCGGAUUAAUUCGAUGCAACGCGUAGAACCUUACCUGGGUUUGACAUGGAUCGGGAGCGCUCAGAGAUGGGUGUGCCUCUUUUGGGGUCGGUUCACAGGUGGUGCAUGGCUGUCGUCAGCUCGUGUCGUGAGAUGUUGGGUUAAGUCCCGCAACGAGCGCAACCCUUGUUCACUGUUGCCAGCACGUUAUGGUGGGGACUCAGUGGAGACCGCCGGGGUCAACUCGGAGGAAGGUGGGGAUGACGUCAAGUCAUCAUGCCCCUUAUGUCCAGGGCUUCACGCAUGCUACAAUGGCUGGUACAGAGAGUGGCGAGCCUGUGAGGGUGAGCGAAUCUCGGAAAGCCGGUCUCAGUUCGGAUUGGGGUCUGCAACUCGACCUCAUGAAGUCGGAGUCGCUAGUAAUCGCAGAUCAGCAACGCUGCGGUGAAUACGUUCCCGGGGCU
rnacentral:rRNA from 1 species